UUGAGCUUAAUAUUUCGAGUCAGCUCGAACUCGACUUAUGAGCGGCUCGGUUCGUUUGCAACCCUAUCCGAAACACAAAAAAGAGUAAAGUGGAGAAGUAGUACCACCAACAAACCCUGCGUUGGUUGGGCCUCUCCCUUAAGUCCUUUUCACCUUAAAACCUUUCUUCAGAGAACGAGUGUUGGACCAACGUCAUCAUCGUCCACCACCACCCUCCUCAUCUCUCGUCUCUCUAAACAUUUUCCGAGCUCCCCCAUUUCCCUCAAAAUCAAAGGGAGGAUAAAUGUAAUUAACCCUAUUUUAAGCGAACUGAACAAAGUCACCCACUCCAACCCCAUCGCCCCUGCUUGCUGACCAACUCAGCCAACCACUUCCCUCCCUGGCUCCACCCAUUUUCAGUUUCCUCCGCCGCCAAGCUGCCGAGCCCCUCUCCUUCUCCGUUUGACUGGAACGCAAGGCCGAUAGAACGAGCGAACUCGCCAAUCUACAGGGGCACAUGUACGGAAUCCGUACCUGAUAUGGUCAAAAAUUUUUGGAUACAUGGACUGUUGCAAGAUUUGUGAGAUCUGAUGUUGAUGGCAGAGGAGGAGGAGAGCUGGACAAGAAGUCUCAUGAGAUGGGAAGAGAAUGGAAGAGGAAGAAUGGUUGCUCUAUGGAGGAGAAAGAAAGGAGAAAGCUGCUAUAAAUUUGAAAAGAAAAAUACUCAUGACAUCUGCUGUAUUUUCACUUCAUCUGUACAGGCUGCUGAUUCUCUCUCACUGAAGGAAGAUACGGAAUUGUGGUAAUGAUGGUGUUUAAGAGUAAAAGUGGCUCUAUUAGUUUGAGAAGAGAUGUUCUGUUUUGAUUCAUUUGAACCCACUGUAAAUGAGGUGAUGACAGCUCUAAAUGGGGGAUGAGGAAGAUAGGGUUUGACAAUGAUAGUUAUUUUGCAACUAAAACGCUGUAUUUUGACUUUAACUUUCCUUUUGAACAAGUGACUUAAUUUCUUUACAAUUUUACCCUUUUUAAUAUAGAUUCAGUCCCUCACAAUUAAAAAAUUUUACCUUUCUCUAACCAAGCUUAUGGUUCUUUUCAAACUAGUUGCACACUUCAUUGAAAUUUUUAUUAAAAUACGCUUUAUAUAUCAUUGUACAUAAAUUUUAGAAUGAUUUAUUUCUAAAGAUCUUAUCCAUCUACAAGUUUAAGAAGCGCACCCCUGCACCCAUACCUAAAAUUGGUCACAUAUCCCUGGAUCCUAUAAUUUUUAAAUAUGCGAAUCCGACACUUCAACAUGCACCUGUAUCUGACACCAAUACCCGAGUCCAUAUAACAUAUAUUUUCUCUUGAAUAGAUGUAUAUAAUGCAGAGCCAAAUUUUAGAAAAGGAAAGCAAGUCUUAAUUUGUUCACAACAAUAUUGAUUCUAGCAUGCUUAAUAAUGCAUCCAUCACCAAAAUGUCUAACACAGAAAUGAGUAAUGACUAUUCAUAUGAACUAGUCAACAGAAACCGCAUCUCCAGAUUCCUUGUCCAGGCAACUCGCUCAAUACUUCAAGGUAUAAUCAUGUAAUCCAUGAUUGCAUUUGACAAGACGCAUACCUCUCUUUCCCUUUUAUCACUUCCUUUUCUCUUUGUUUGGUGUGGAAUGCUCUAGGCAGUAGGGCCCCUUUGAAAAUAAGGCACUUAGGCAUAAAAUAAUGCAUUAGAUGCAACAUAUAGUCAUCAAGCAAAUUUUAGCUGAUUAAGCUUUGUUAACCUAUCAUAUGAACAACUAAUUCUGUAAGUCUCAAAAAAUAAGUAGUACCAGCCAUUUGUCUAGAGCUGUGCUAAAAAGGCUACCACGUAAGAUUAACACCAACAAGAUAGGCAUCUUUCACCUUUAUCUCCCUAAAAGGUAAAUCACAUACUGAUACCACAAGCAAACUUCUACUCCAACCAAUGGUCAAGUUUAUGGUCAAUGGCAAAAAAGGAGAAGUAUCUUAACCAGCAAACAGAACUGAUUAAAUAUCAGAAAUGUAAUAGAGAGUAUGUACUCCUACUUCUUAUUAUAGAAAUUAAAGAAUCUAGGCACAGUAAAUUGCAAAGGCCUUGUGGAGCUUAAUGCAAUGCCUGAAGUGGAGUGCUGGUCAGUUGAAACAAAGCGCAGAGUUGCUUAUGCUGUAAAUUAUUUUCAACUAAUGUCAUAAUGCACCAGUAUGCUGUGAAUUUGUAAUUACAUAGCCCUACAUGAAAGCUUAUAUCUUCAAAGGCAUAAAACACUACAUCAAAGUACUUUCAACCCAAAAAAAUCCUAUUUACUUUAUCAUGCCUUCGAUGACAAUUCCACAAUUUCUAUAAAAUCAUACCCCUCACAUACGGAAUAACAUUAAAAAUGAGGAACAGUAAAAGUUUGACAAAGAUCUUUCUUUUCAUCAUAUCUUUAAUAAAGCAACAACGAGAACAUGAACCUUGUUAUUAAUAUCUUAAAGCAUUACACACAGCAAAUCACAUCCUCCAUUGCAGUUAUCAUGAUGUUCAGAAAUUUUGAACCGAAAAGACUCUUAAAAAGGAAUUAUGUAUAUAUAGUAAAAUUUGAGAUAUCCAAUAUUGCAAAACUGGGAAGCACAUGAAAAUAAACACAAAAUAAAAUUUUCACAUAAUUUCCUUUAUUGAAAACCAUAUGAACAUCAACUUUUAGAGGUAAGAACUUCUGUAUCUAAAAGAAAUCUAUUCAGGACAUCUGGAAAUCUAAUGAAGCUUGUAGAUCUACUAAAAUCAAGAAUAGAUGUACAUAAAUGUAGUCAAUCCACAAUUAGAAAUAUAAUAACACCACAUAAACACUUGGAGCAGGCAGCCAUUAAUACUUACAUCUCAUAAAUGAAUAACUGACGCUCUCAUAUCCCAAAAUCACUUUACUACAAGAAUGUUCCACAUGAUCUGCUAACCUUACACAAAUUCCAUGGUGCAAAAGCAAUUUCUACCAGCUCAGAUUGUGAGCAUCAAUAGCAUAACUUC